GAAAUGCGAUAAGUAAUGUGAAUUGCAGAAUUAAGUGAAUCAUCGAAUCUUUGAACGCACAUUGCGCCCGCCAGUAUUCUGGCGGGCAUGCCUGUUCGAGCGUCAUUUCAACCAUCAAGCCCCCGGCUUGUGUUGGGGACCUGCGGCUGCCCGCAGGCCCUGAAAAACAGUGGCGGGCUCGCUGUCACACCGAGCGUAGUAGCAUACAUUCUCGCUCAGGGCGUGCUGCGGGUUCCGGCCGUUAAACGACCUUCAUAACCCAAGGUUGACCUCGGAUCAGGUAGGAAGACCCGCUGAACUUAAGC
rnacentral:misc_RNA from 1 species